rnacentral:rRNA from 1 species
UACGUAGGUGGCAAGCGUUGUCCGGAUUUACUGGGCGUAAAGAGCGCGCAGGCGGUCGUGCAAGUCGCGUGUGAAAGCCCCCGGCUCAACUGGGGAGGGUCACGCGAUACUGCUCGACUCGAAGGCAGGAGAGGCCGGUGGAAUUCCCGGUGUAGUGGUGAAAUGCGUAGAGAUCGGGAGGAACACCUGUGGCGAAGGCGGCCGGCUGGGGGUGCCCUGACGCUGAGGCGCGAAAGCGUGGGGAGCGAACCGG